CUACCGGGUCGCUCCAGUGAGGAAUAUUGCACAAUGGGGGGAACCCUGAUGCAGCAACGCCGCGUGGAGGAUGACGCAUUUCGGUGUGUAAACUCCUUUUAUAUGUCAAGAAAAUGACGGUAGCAUAUGAAUAAGCACCGGCUAACUCCGUGCCAGCAGCCGCGGUAAUACGGAGGGUGCAAGCGUUACUCGGAAUCACUGGGCGUAAAGGACGCGUAGGCGGGUUGGAAAGUCAGGUGUGAAAUCCUACAGCUUAACUGUAGAACUGCACUUGAAACUUCUAAUCUAGAGUAUGGGAGGGGGAGAUGGAAUUAGUGGUGUAGGGGUAAAAUCCGUAGAUAUCACUAGGAAUACCUAAAGCGAAGGCGAUCUCCUGGAACAUUACUGACGCUAAGGCGUGAAAGCGUGGGGAGCAAACAGGAUUAGAUACCCCUGUAGUC
rnacentral:rRNA from 1 species